rnacentral:rRNA from 1 species
GACGAACGCUGGCGGCGUGCUUAACACAUGCAAGUCGAACGAAGUGGCGAACGGGUGAGUAACGCGUAAUCAACCUGCCCUUCAGAGGGGGACACCAGUUGGAAACGACUGCUAAUCCCGCAUAGUGAAGGAGGGGAUUGCGUGUGAUUAGCUAGUUGGGGGGGUAACGGCCCACCAAGGCGAUGAUCAGUCGCCGGGCCGGGAGGAUUGACGGGCCAAACGGGACUUGGGCACGGGCCAGACCUCUAACGGGAGGAGGAGUGGGGGAACAUCCGAAAUGGACGAAAGGCUGAAGGAGCAACGCCGGGGGAGAGGUGAAGGGCUUCGGGGUGGAAAGCUCUGUUAAGCGGGGAGCGGUACCGGAAGAGAAAGCCACGGCUAACUACGUGCCAGCAGCCGCGGUAAUUC